AGAGUUUGAUCCUGGCUCAGGAUAAACGCUGGCGGCGCACAUAAGACAUGCAAGUCGAACGGACUUAACCGAAAUGUUUACAGUUUUGGAGCGGUUAGUGGCGGACUGGUGAGUAACACGUAAGCAACCUGCCUAUUAGAGGGGAAUAACAGUGAGAAAUCAUUGCUAAUACCGCAUAUGCCAUAAUCACCACAUGGUGAUAGUGGGAAAGGAGCAAUCCGCUAAUAGAUGGGCUUGCGUCUGAUUAGAUAGUUGGUGGGGUAACGGCCUACCAAGUCGACGAUCAGUAGCCGGACUGAGAGGUUGAAACGGCCACAUUGGGACUGAGAUACGGCCCAGACUCCUACGGGAGGCAGCAGUCGGGAAUAUUGCACAAUGGAGGAAACUCUGAUGCAGUGACGCCGCGUGCAGGAAGAAGGUUUUCGGAUUGUAAACUGCUUUAGAUAGGGAAGAUAAAAGACUGUACCUAUAGAAUAAGCUCCGGCUAACUACGUG
rnacentral:rRNA from 1 species